rnacentral:rRNA from 1 species
UCAGGACGAACGCUGGCGGCGUGCCUAAUACAUGCAAGUCGAACGGCUUUUCUAUGGAAGCUUGCUUCCACUGAGAAGAUGGUGGCGAACGGGUGAGUAACACGUGGGUAACCUGCCCAUAAGAGGGGGAUAACAUCCGGAAACGGGUGCUAAUACCGCAUAGUUUUCUUGAUCGCAUGAUCGGGAAAGGAAAGACGGCCUUUGUGCUGUCGCUUAUGGAUGGACCCGCGGCGUAUUAGUUAGUUGGUGAGGUAACGGCUCACCAAGACGAUGAUACGUAGCCGACCUGAGAGGGUGAUCGGCCACAUUGGGACUGAGACACGGCCCAAACUCCUACGGGAGGCAGCAGUAGGGAAUCUUCCGCAAUGGACGAAAGUCUGACGGAGCAACGCCGCGUGAGUGAAAGAAGGUUUUCGGAUCGUAAAACUCUGUUGUCAGAGAAGAACAAGUUGGAGAGUAACUGCUCCAGCCUUGACGGUAUCUGACCAGAAAGCCACGGCUAACUACGUGCCAGCCGCGGC